AUUGAACGCUGGCGGCAUGCCUUACACAUGCAAGUCGAACGGUAACAGGUCUUCGGAUGCUGACGAGUGGCGAACGGGUGAGUAAUACAUCGGAACGUGCCCAGACGUGGGGGAUAACGCGGCGAAAGCUUUGCUAAUACCGCAUACGAUCUAAGGAUGAAAGCAGGGGACCGCAAGGCCUUGUGCGUUUGGAGCGGUCGAUGGCAGAUUAGGUAGUUGGUGGGAUAAAAGCUUACCAAGCCGACGAUCUGUAGCUGGUCUGAGAGGACGACCAGCCACACUGGGACUGAGACAUGGCCCAGACUCCUACGGGAGGCAGCAGUGGGGAAUUUUGGACAAUGGGCGAAAGCCUGAUCCAGCAAUGCCGCGUGCAGGAUGAAGGCCUUCGGGUUGUAAACUGCUUUUGUACGGAACGAAAAGGCUCUGGCUAAUACCUGGGGCACAUGACGGUACCGUAAGAAUAAGCACCGGCUAACUACGUG
rnacentral:rRNA from 1 species